CCUACGGGAGGCAGCAGUGGGGAAUUUUGGACAAUGGGCGCAAGCCUGAUCCAGCCAUGCCGCGUGAGUGAUGAAGGCCCUAGGGUUGUAAAGCUCUUUCGGCGGGGAAGAUAAUGACGGUACCCGCAGAAGAAGCCCCGGCUAACUUCGUGCCAGCAGCCGCGGUAAUACGAAGGGGGCUAGCGUUGUUCGGAAUCACUGGGCGUAAAGGGCGCGUAGGCGGAUCCUUAAGUCAGGGGUGAAAUCCCGGAGCUCAACUCCGGAACGGCCUUUGAUACUGAGGAUCUAGAGUUCGAGAGAGGUUGGUGGAACUGCGAGUGUAGAGGUGAAAUUCGUAGAUAUUCGCAAGAACACCAGUGGCGAAGGCGGCCAACUGGCUCGACACUGACGCUGAGGCGCGAAAGCGUGGGGAGCAAACAGGAUUAGAUACCCCAGUAGUC
rnacentral:rRNA from 1 species